rnacentral:rRNA from 1 species
AUGUGGGCUAAUGGAAACAGCUGUAUGCAGUACAAGUUCUUUGGCGAUGUGGUGACAUUCGACACCACAUACAGGACAAACUUGUAUGACAUGCCGUUUGGUUUGUUUGUUGGAGUUAACAAUCACUACCAGAGUAUCAUCCUGGCAAACGUGUUGAUGCGUGGCGAGCAGGAAGAGAGCUUCGAAUGGGUGUUCUCAGAAUUCCUUCGCAUGAUGGGCGGGCCUCCUCCAAAAACAAUACUGACAGACCAAUGUAGGGCCAUGGAGGUUGCAAUCAAGAAAACCUAUCCAGAGACUGUGCACCAUUGGUGCAAGUGGCAUGUUCUGGAGAAAGCGAAAGAAACACUAGGGCCAUUGUACACAAAAAAAAUAAUAUCGAGCCAUCUAUUCUAUAUCUGUCCCCGGACGACGUUAGCUCAGAUAAGAUGCCGAGCCAUCUCUCGUCAAUCUGUCCCGCGACAGCGUUGCAUCCAGCCGUGA